UCCGGCUUGUCACCGGCAGUUUCUCCAGAGUGCCCGGCAUAACCCGAUGGCAACUGAAGAUGGGGGUUGCGCUCGUUGCGGGACUUAACCCAACAUCUCACGACACGAGCUGACGACAGCCAUGCAGCACCUGUGUUCCCGCCAGCCGAACUGAAGAGUGGGGUCUCCCCCACCCACACGGGACAUGUCAAGGGCUGGUAAGGUUCUUCGCGUUGCUUCGAAUUAAACCACAUGCUCCACCGCCUGUGCAGGCCCCCGUCAAUUUCUUUGAGUUUUAACCUUGCGGCCGUACUCCCCAGGCGGGAUGCUUAAUGCGUUAGCUGCGCCACCAACAAGCAUGCUUGCUGACGGCUAGCAUCCAUCGUUUAAGGCGUGGACUAC
rnacentral:misc_RNA from 1 species